rnacentral:rRNA from 1 species
CGGCAAAUAUCCUUUGAUCCGGAGAUGUCUGAAUGGGGGAACCCACCUACUUUAAGGUAGGUAUUGCAACAUGAAUACAUAGUGUUGCAAGGCGAACGAGGGGAAGUGAAACAUCUCAGUACCCUUAGGAAAAGAAAUCAAUUGAGAUUCCCUCAGUAGCGGCGAGCGAACGGGGAUCAGCCCAUUAAGUUAUGUGUGUUUUAGUGGAACGCUCUGGGAAGUGCGAACGUAGAGGGUGAUAUUCCCGUACACGAAAGGGCACACAUAAUGAUGACGAGUAGGGCGAGGCACGUGAAACCUUGUCUGAAUAUGGGGGGACCAUCCUCCAAGGCUAAAUACUCCUGACUGACCGAUAGUGAACCAGUACCGUGAGGGAAAGGCGAAAAGAACCCCUGUGAGGGGAGUGAAAUAGAUCCUGAAACCGCAUGCAUACAAGCAGUGGGAGCACCUUCGUGGUGUGACUGCGUACCUUUUGUAUAAUGGGU